rnacentral:rRNA from 1 species
GUGGGGAAUCUUGCGCAAUGGGCGAAAGCCUGACGCAGCCAUGCCGCGUGAAUGAUGAAGGUCUUAGGAUUGUAAAAUUCUUUCACCGGGGACGAUAAUGACGGUACCCGGAGAAGAAGCUCCGGCUAACUUCGUGCCAGCAGCCGCGGUAAUACGGAGGGGGCUAGCGUUGCUCGGAAUUACUGGGCGUAAAGGGCGCGUAGGCGGACAGCUUAGUCAGAGGUGAAAGCCCAGGGCUCAACCUUGGAAUUGCCUUUGAUACUGGCUGUCUUGAGUUUGGGAGAGGUGAGUGGAACUCCGAGUGUAGAGGUGAAAUUCGUAGAUAUUCGGAAGAACACCAGUGGCGAAGGCGACUCACUGGCCCAAUACUGACGCUGAGGCGCGAAAGCGUGGGGAGCAAACAGGAUUAGAUACCCCAGUAGUCC